rnacentral:rRNA from 1 species
UACGUAGGCAGCAAGCGUUGUUCGGAAUUACUGGGCGUAAAGAGUGUGUAGGCGGUGUUCUAAGUCUGUUGUGAAAUCUCCCGGCUUAACUGGGAGGGUGCGGCGGAAACUGGAAUGCUAGAGGAUGGGAGAGGUAAGCGGAAUUCCUGGUGUAGCGGUGAAAUGCGUAGAUAUCAGGAGGAACACCUGUGGUGUAGACAGCUUACUGGACCAUUUUCUGACGCUGAGACACGAAAGCGUGGGUAGCAAACAGG